AACGAACGCUGGCGGCGCGCCUAAUACAUGCAAGUCGAGCGAGAAGAUGUAGCGAUACACUUGUAAAGCGGCGAACGGGUGAGGAAUACAUGGGUAACCUACCCUCGAGUGGGGAAUAACUAGCCGAAAGGUUAGCUAAUACCGCAUACGAUUCCAGGACUUCGGUCCUGGAAGGAAAGCACUACCGUGGGUAGUGCGCUCCUGGAUGGGCUCAUGUCCUAUCAGCUUGNGGUGAGGUAAAGGCUCACCAAGGCUUCGACGGGUAGCUGGUCUGAGAGGACGAUCAGCCACACUGGCACUGCGACACGGGCCAGACUCCUACGGGAGCAGCAGUAAGGAAUAUUGCGCAAUGGGCGAAAGCCUGACGCAGCGACGCCGCGUGGGGGAUGAAGGUCUUCGGAUUGUAAACCCCUUUCGGG
rnacentral:rRNA from 1 species